CGGGGGCAGCGGCGGGGGGCAGCCAGCACGGCUCCGGCACGGCGAUCCCCGCCGCCAGCCCGCCCCGCUCCGCCUGGCACCGCCUGCACGAGGAAGGCUGCCUCCUGUUCUCUUCUUUUUUUUCCCCUUCAUCCCGCUGUGAUGGGAUGAGGGGGAUGGAAACGGUUUCGCGAGUAGGGGGGGUUUAGGCUGAGCGUAAAGAAGAAGCUUUUCGUGCUUCUUGCGCUGGGAGUGCCUCCCCAUCCCUGCGGGCACACCGGGUGGGGAGGGUGGGCUCCGAGCACUGAUGGAGCUGCGGGUGUCCCUGUUUGGUGGAGUGGGACCAGAUGGCCUUUAAAGGUCCCUUCCAACUUAAAUUCUAUGAGCAGUCGGUUUUCUGUUAGGAGCUGUGGUGGGUGUGCUGUGAGGUCCAGCCAGGACAGCCCCAGAGGGGCAAAACACAAAACUGAAGCCAAAAUUAAGUGGUGUGGCUGUCGGAGAUUGGGCGCGUUAACAAGACGGAGUUCCCUACCUUUGGAUGCUACGUGGGAGCAACUGUGCAGGAAGAAUCCCACCUGGAAGUGAAAAGAAAGCAUCCCUUAAAUACAGCACAAGAGACGCCCCACAGGUCCUACAAGGAGGUGCCAGGUUAACCCUGCCUUCCUGCUGGGGAGGAACAGACUCACUCAGAUCUCUUCUACCUGCUCUCCAAUGGGAUCUCAUGGUGCUCCCCCUGUCCCCUCUGCUCCCAGCUCCCCACAUCUGCUGGUGGACCACGGUGGGAUGAGCCACUGCUUCCCACCCAUACAGGUGGGGGCAGACGGCUCUCUGAGGUUCAGCGGGUCUGGGGAUGCAAAGUAAGCCCUAAACCUCAUCUCCUGACACUGCCUGGCCACGCUCCUUCCCCUUGCCUGUUUAUCCUCAAGGAAUGCAAGCUCUGGGAGCAAUCCUCUCGCUUCCAGUUCUAAUGAAGGAGGCAGAUACACACACCCAUCAAACCCUCUCAUUUAGGCUUUCAGGCUUAGGCUCUCAUUCUUAAUGCCUCCGACUGCUCAAGAUGACAGGGGAAAAAUCACUUUCUAUUAUCACCUAUGAACCAAGAACAAUGCUUGGAAGAGGCACAGGGAGAUGCAGGCAUUGGUGCUCAGGCAGCAUCUACUCCGCUGCGCUUUGAUCCUGAACAAACCCAAGCACUUGAUGCCUGUGCUAUGGGUGAAGGCACUGAAAUUCACUACCAAGUCCUCCUGCUGCAAUAAAGCUCUCUCUGGGUGUGAACACAUAAUCCUUCGUUUGCUCAGAGAGGCACAAUGGCAGCAAAGGGAAUAAACAGCUAUCAUCUCCUAUGGCUUGGUCCCUCACUGCUGGAAUACAUCGUGCAGGCCUGAAACAAAACCCGGACCUUUUGUUCCUCUCCAUGUGUCAACAGCAGCAAAGGGAGAGCUGUCCUGCAGAGCACACUGCAAGAAGAGAUGGUGCUGCAAGCACAAAGUUCACAGGUAAGGAUUUCCCUCUUCCUUCUGCCUCCAGCUUCACAAAUGACCUACCCUGGACAGGCCUCCAUUUCUCUAUCUGUAAGAGAAAGGGGAGCUUUCUAAACGGCACUUGUUAUUUCCAUGCAUAAAAAGAGCACUUAGAGGAAUCACCAGCAAAACGAGUUUGCAGUUUCAGGCACUGGACACCUUCCCUGUACUUCCUUCUGUAUUUACCAUCUUCUUUUUUUUGGCCAAAACUGCAAUUAAAGCCACAUCUUUCCCUCUCACCUA